rnacentral:misc_RNA from 1 species
GCAGUUUAUUUUGCUUUCUAUUAUUUCUUUGAAAGUUUGCCAUUUGGUGGUUUUAUUGCAUAGUGUUUCUGGUUUGCUAUAGUGAAUUGUAUUGGUUUGUUUCUGUAUUCAAUUAUUAUGGGUCUAUGAUCGGAGCUGAGCUCGAGGUUGGGUGUUAUUUUUAGUUUAUUUGUGUUUAGUCCCCUUGUAACUGCAAAGUCCAGA